UGCAUGGCAGCGCCUCGGACAGGGGCGCUGCCGCCGCUGGGACCCUCCCCCGGGCCGGUCCCGGGCGUCCCCCUUCCCGCCUCGCCCCUUCCCAGCAGCCGACACCCUUGACCUUGCCAUCCGGCAGCGACAGCAGCGGCGGGCGGAGGAUCGCUGUGCAGGGCUGCGGAGCUGCCUUGGGGUGCGUUAGCCGGCGUAUGGCACGUAAAAAUUUCUACUAGAAGGGCGAGAGGCAACAUCUUCCAAUUGACGGGAGGUGGAAGAAAAAAAGGAUUUAAAGAGCAUCUUUGCCCUCUUUGUUGAAUGAGAAGGACAGGGGAGGACCAGCAAGAUGAGCACUAGCACAGUUCCCUAUCAGCAAAACCCCUACACCCCUGGGAGCAGCUCCACCGUCAUCCAGUGCUACCGCUGCGGGGACACCUGCAAGGGCGAGGUGGUGCGUGUCCAGAGCAACCACUUCCACAUCCGCUGCUUCACCUGCCAAGUGUGCGGCUGUGACCUGGCCCAGUCGGGCUUCUUCUUCAAGAACCAGGAGUACAUCUGCACCCACGACUACCAGCAGCUCUAUGGGACCCGCUGUGACAGUUGUGGGGACUUCAUCACUGGAGAGGUCAUCUCCGCCCUGGGGAGGACCUACCACCCCAAGUGCUUCGUCUGCAGCACCUGCAGGAAGCCGUUCCCCAUCGGAGACAAGGUCACGUUCAGUGGGAAGGACUGUGUCUGCCAAAACUGCUCCCACUCUCUCAUCAGCACCAAACCCAUCAAGAUCCACGGGCCAAGCCACUGCGCAGGCUGUAAGGAGGAGAUCAAGCAAGGCCAGUCCCUCCUGGCCCUGGAGAAGCAGUGGCAUGUCAGCUGCUUCAAGUGCCAAACGUGCGGGAUCAUCCUCACCGGCGAGUACAUCAGCAAGGAUGGCAUCCCAUACUGUGAGUCCGACUACCAUGCCCAGUUUGGCAUCAAGUGCGAGACCUGCGACCGGUACAUCAGUGGCAGGGUUCUGGAGGCAGGAGGGAAGCACUACCACCCGACUUGUGCCAGAUGUGUCCGCUGCCACCAGAUGUUCACAGAAGGAGAGGAGAUGUACCUCACAGGCUCUGAAGUGUGGCACCCCAUCUGCAAGCAGGCGGCCAGAGCGGAGAAGAAGCUAAAGCACAGAAGGACAUCAGAAACCUCCAUCUCACCCCCCGGGUCCAGUAUCGGCUCCCCAAACCGUGUUAUCUGCGCUAAAGUGGAUAAUGAGAUCCUUAAUUACAAAGACCUGGCAGCUCUUCCCAAGAUUAAAUCCAUCUAUGAAGUGCAGCGUCCUGACCUCAUUUCCUACGAGCCCUAUCACAGAUACACGUCGGAUGAGACGCUGGAGAGAUAUAGCUAUGGGGAGUCCCUGGGGACCCUCUCCCCGUACUCGCAGGACAUCUACGAGAGCUUUGACACGCGGCAAAGGCGAGCCUCCAGCCCUGGCUACAUCGACUCCCCCACCUACAGCCGCCAGGGCAUGUCCCCCACCAUCCCGAGGUCCCCCCACCAUUUCUACCGCUCAGGCACCGAGAGCGGGCGCAGCUCCCCCUACUAUAGCCAGUUAGAUGUGAGGUCCUCCACUCCAACCUCAUACCAAGCGCCCAAGCAUUUCCACAUCCCAGCUGCUGGUGAGAGUAACAUCUACCGGAAACCCCCCAUCUAUAAGCGACACGACAACCCCCCGGCAGCCACGAAAAGCAAAACCAGUGAAGACAUCGCACAGUCAUCCAAGUACAGCCCUGCCUACUCCCCGGACCCGUACUACCAUUCUGAGUCGGAGUACUGGCCCUUCCAAGGCUCCCCAAAAGCCCCCCGGGCCCGGCGGUUCUCAUCAGGAGGCGAGGAGGAUGGGUACGACCGGGGCAUGCACAAGAUCCAGAGCGGCAUCGGCCGGCUGAUCCUGAGGGAGGAGAUGAAGGCUCGGUCCAACUCCUACGCAGACCCCUGGACACCCCCUCGCAGCUCGGCCAGCAGCAGAGAAGCCCUGCACACGGCUGGCUACGAGGGCUCCCUCAAUGGCUCUCCCCGGACGCAUUACCUGGCUGACAGCGAUCCCCUUAUUUCUAAGUCAGCCUCCCUUCCUGCCUACAGGAGAAAUGGGCUGCACAGGCCUCCCAGUGCCGAGCUUUUCCACUACGACAGCACGAACGCCGUAAACUGGGGGAUGCGAGAGUACAAGGUAAGAUGCUCUGCCAGACAGAGAUGUGAAUACCACCCAGAGAUGUGCCGUGUGUCCCCAGCCCUUCAGGAGGAAGCCUUGCCCUCUGCCCACAGUGCCCUGCCUUCCCCCCUUUCCAUCCCCCACCUGACAGCCCCGGCGUGGGACUGUGGGGCUCAGGCCAGAGUCUCAAGGGUCCCAAGCCCUUUGCCAAGCAGAAUUGUCGCCCGGUGAGGAACAAGAGAAUGGUGGUCUUGCUGGUGUUUCCCUACUCAUGCUCAUCUCUGGGUCACUCCUGUCUUUGUGGAGUGAGCAGGAGACCUUCAGGUUGCCAUUCCAGAGCCACCAAAGUGAUUCAAGGUGGAUUAAGGUCACCCUGAGAGCAGGUCCCCCAUCUGCUUUGUCCUGUCCAAGCCCCAGGGGCAGCUGUGACACCCAAACCCUGCUAAAUGUAGCGGAGGAAGGCUUUGCCUUCGUGCUCCCCAUGGCCCCAUCCCAGAUGUGCCCCAUCUGUCCUAUUCUGGCUCAGUAGCUACCCUGUGAUCUUCCUGUGCUUGUGCAGAUAUACCCCUAUGAGCUGCUCCUGGUGAAGACGAGGGGAAGGAACCAGCUGCCCAAAGAUGUGGACAGGACUCGGUUAGAGCGCCACCUCUCCCAGGAGGAGUUCUACCAGAUCUUCGGCAUGACCAUCGCCGAGUUUGACCGCCUGGCCCUCUGGAAGAGGAACGAGCUGAAGAAGCAGGCCCGGCUAUUUUAAAUACAGUGCACUAUAAAUAUAUACAUACCUAUAAAUAUAUACAUAGAAAGAUCUCUAUAUUGCAGCUCUGUAUGAUUCUCGGUGCUGUAUGUGGCAGAGGCACCCUCUGCACCCCUGAGAGUGAACUGGAGUCUUGCAGAUCA